rnacentral:rRNA from 1 species
GACGAACCGUGCGAACGUUAUUCGGAAUCACUGGGCUUAAAGGGCGCGUAGGCGGGCCGACGAGCCAGGGGUGAAAUCCUCCAGCUUAACUGGAGAACAGCCUUUGGGACCGGCGGCCUCGAGGGGUGCAGGGGCAUGCGGAACUCAGGGUGGAGCGGUGAAAUGCGUAGAGAUCCUGAGGAACACCGGUGGCGAAAGCGGCGUGCUGGACACCUACUGACGCUGAGGCGCGAAAGCCAGGGGAGCGAACGGGAUUAGAUACCCCGGUAGUCCUGGCCCUAAACGUUGGGAACUAGGUAGCGGCCUUGCAUGGGGUCGCUGCCGAAGCGAAAGUGCUAAGUUCCCCGCCUGGGGAGUAUGGUCGCAAGGCUGAA